rnacentral:tRNA from 1 species
GGGCCCAUAGUCUAGUGGUUAUGACGUCGCCUUUACACGGCGAAGGUCACCGGUUCGAAUCCGGUUGGGCCCA